rnacentral:rRNA from 1 species
AACGAACGCUGGCGGCAUGCCUAACACAUGCAAGUCGAACGAGACCUUCGGGUCUAGUGGCGCACGGGUGCGUAACGCGUGGGAACCUGCCCUUAGGUUCGGAAUAACUCCCCGAAAGGGGUGCUAAUACCGGAUAAUGUCUUCGGACCAAAGAUUUAUCGCCUUUGGAUGUGCCCGCGUUGGAUUAGCUAGUUGGUAGGGUAAAAGCCUACCAAGGCGACGAUCCAUAGCUGGUCUGAGAGGAUGAUCAGCCACACUGGGACUGAGACACGGCCCAGACUCCUACGGGAGGCAGCAGUGGGGAAUAUUGGACAAUGGGCGAAAGCCUGAUCCAGCAAUGCCGCGUGAGUGAUGAAGGCCUGAGGGUUGUAAAGCUCUUUUACCCGGGAUGAUAAUGACAGUACCGGGAGAAUAAGCUCCGGCUAACUCCGUG